rnacentral:rRNA from 1 species
GGACCAAAGUCUUGACCCAGCCACUCCGCGUUAUGUGAUGAAGGUCUUCGGAUCGUAAAGCUCUGUUGUUAGGGAAGAACGGCUGCCGUUCAAAUUACGGCGGGACCUUGAACUGUACCUAACCAUAAACCCCCGGCUUACCUACUUGCCCACCACCCGCGGUAUUACAUAGGUGGCAACCUUAGUCCGAAAUAAUGGGCCUUAAACGGCUCUCAGGCGGUUUCUUAAAUCUGAUGUAAAACCCCCCGGCUCAACCGGGGAACGGUCAUUGUAAACUGCGGAACAUAAUUGCAUAAAAGGAGAGUGGAAUUCCACGUGUAGCGGUGAAAUGCGUAGAUAUGUGGAGGAACACCAUUGGCGAAGGCGACUCUCUGGUCUGUAACUGAMSCUAAGGAGCAAAAGCGUGGGGAGCRAACAGGAUUARAUACCCUGGUAGUCCACGCCGUAAACAAUGARUAGCUAACCUGUUAGGGGGUUUCCGACCCUUAGUGCUGAAGCUAACGCAUUAAGCACUCCGCCUGGGGAGUACGGUCGCAAGACUGAAACUCAAAGGAAUUGACGGGGGCCCGCACAAGCGGUGGAGCAUGUGGUUUAAUUCGAAGCAACGCGAAAAACCUUACCAGGUCUUGACAUCCUCUGACCAUCCUAGAGAUAGGACGUCCCCUUCGGGGUCAGAAUGACAGGUGGUGCAUGGUUGUCGUCAGCUCGUGUCGUGAGAUGUUGGGUUAAGUCCCGCAACGAGCGCAACCCUGGYUCUUAGUUGCCAGCAUUCAGUUGGGCACUCUAAGGUGACUGCCGGUGACAAACCGGAGGAAGGUGGGGAUGACGUCAAAUCAUCAUGCCCCUUAUGACCUGGGCUACACACGUGCUACAAUGGACAGAACAAAGGGCUGCGAAACCGCGAGGUUAAGCCAAUCCCACUAAUCUGUUCUCAGUUCGGAUUGCAGUCUGCAACUCGACUGCGUGAAGCUGGAAUCGCUAGUAAUCGCGGAUCACCAUGCCGCGGUGAAUACGUUCCCGGGCCUUGUACACACCGCCCGUCACACACAGAGUUUUUUACACCCGAARUCGGUGAGGUAACCUUAUGGAGCCAGCCCCCGAAGGUGUGACACAUGAUUGGGGUGAAAUCGUAACAAGGUAUCCGUAUCGGAAAGUGCGGCUGGAUCACCUCCUUAU